rnacentral:misc_RNA from 1 species
AAGUCGUAACAAGGUCUCCGUAGGUGAACCUGCGGAGGGAUCAUUAACACGUUAAUUCUAACGUUUUUUUCAACCAAAACUAUGGAAACAUGAAAGUGAAGAGAAGAGUGAGUGUGAAAACUUGCUUUUUUCCCAUUUUUGUUUUUUAUCAACCCAUUUCCAAUUUAAAAAUGAACUUGACCUGUAUACUAUGAAAAUUUAUUUUUUCAUUAGUAUUGAUAUCUAAACAAAGAAGCACAACUCUUAGCAACGGAUAUCUUGGUUCUC